UGACAGACUGGAUUAAGAAAAUGUGGCACAUAGACGGAGGAGUUCCAGGGGCCAGGCGGUCGCCGCGAGUCUGGUAUCCUGAGCUUCGUGAGUUGAGCACUGCUGCUCCGCAGUGGAGUCACCGCAUCGCUCCCAUGAUCAUGGUGUUCUACUUCACCAGGAGCAGCGUUAAUUCAUCUGCCUACACUAUUUACAUGGGAAAAGAUAAAUAUGAAAAUGAAGAUCUGAUCAAGCAUGGCUGGCCUGAAGAUAUCUGGUUUCAUGUGGACAAACUCUCUUCAGCUCAUGUAUACCUUCGAUUACAUAAGGGAGAGAAUAUAGAAGACAUUCCAAAGGAAGUGCUGAUGGACUGUGCCCACCUUGUGAAGGCCAAUAGCAUUGAAGGCUGCAAGAUGAACAACGUUAAUGUGGUAUAUACUCUGUGAUCUAACCUGAAGAAAACAGCUGACAUGGAUGUGGGGCAGAUAGGCUUUCACAGGCAAAAGGAUGUAAAAAUUGUGACAGUGGAGAAGAAAGUAAAUGAGAUCGUGAGCCGAUUAGAAAAGACCAAAGUGGAGCGGUUCCCAGACCUAGCAGCAGAGAAAGAAUGCAGAGAUCGUGAAAAGAGGAAUGAGAAAAAAACCCAAAUUCAGGAAAUGAAAAGGAGAGAAAAAGAAGAAAUGAAGAAGAAAAGGGAAAUGGAUGAACUUAGGAGCUAUUCAUCACUAAUGAAAGUUGAAAAUAUGUCUUCAAAUCAGGAUGGCAAUGAUUCAGAUGCAUCAUGUAAAAGGAGGAAAGGACCUUUGAAAGAUGUGAAUGUAGAGACAAUUGCAGACCCUUUGGUUUCAUCCGUGUUCUGAAGUAUAAAAUACAAC